AGCUCUGUGGUGUACCACAUGUUAGAUUGCAAAUCUAAAGAAGUAGGCUAACAGCCUGCCGGGGCUU
rnacentral:tRNA from 1 species